AUAAAGCGUAUUUGUCGUUGCA
rnacentral:miRNA from 1 species